rnacentral:rRNA from 1 species
AAGCGGUGGAGGAUGUGGCUUAAUUCGAGGCUACGCGAAGAACCUUAUCCUAGUCUUGACAUGCACGGAUUAACCCCAGGAAACUGGGGCCACGCCUUCGGGUGGAACGUGCACAGGUGCUGCAUGGCUGUCGUCAGCUCGUGCUGUGAAGUGUCGGGUUAAGUCCCUUAACGAGCGAAACCCUUGUCGCUAGUUGCCAGCGGGUAAAGCCGGGGACUCUAGCGAGACCGCCGGUGUUAAACCGGAGGAAGGUGGGGAUG